GACAGAGGUGGCUAGCGUUGUUCGGAUUCAUUGGGUGUAAAGGGUGCGUAGGCGGUUCAGAAAGUCAGAUGUGAAAUCCCACAGCUCAACUGUGGAACUGCAUCUGAAACUUCUGGACUUGAGUGCGAGAGAGGUAAAGGGAAUUCCCGGUGUAAGGGUGAAAUCUGCAGAGAUCGGGAGGAACACCUGUAGCGAAGGCGCUUUACUGGCUCGCAACUGACGCUGAGUGCACGAAGGCGUGGGGAGCAAACGGG
rnacentral:rRNA from 1 species